GAUGAACGCUGGCGGCGUGCCUAAUACAUGCAAGUCGAGCGAACAGAUGAGGAGCUUGCUCCUCUGACGUUAGCGGCGGACGGGUGAGUAACACGUGGAUAACCUACCUAUAAGACUGGGAUAACUUCGGGAAACCGGAGCUAAUACCGGAGAAUAUAUUGAACCGCAUGGUUCAAUAGUGAAAGACGGUUUUGCUGUCACUUAUAGAUGGAUCCGCGCCGCAUUAGCUAGUUGGUAAGGUAACGGCUUACCGAGGCAACGAUGCGUAGCCGACCUGAGAGGGUGAUCAGCCACACUGGAACUGAGACACGGUCCAGACUCCUACGGGAGGCAGCAGUGGGGAAUAUUGGACAAUGGGCGAAAGCCUGAUGGAGCAAUACCGCGUGGGUGAAGAAGGCCUUCGGGUUGUAAAGCCCUUUUGUUGGGAAAGAAAAGCAGCAGGUUAAUACCCCGCUGUUCUGACGGUACCCAAAGAAAAAGCACCGGCUAACUUCGUG
rnacentral:rRNA from 1 species